AUGGAAAUUAUAUUAGAACUUCAGCAAAGUGCACAGCUGCAUAAUACAGAAGCCGGCACUCAGAUUGACAGGCAAAUAAGCCAGCUUGUGGAAGGGGCCUCUGGGUGGCAGCUCUGGGCUUUUGGGUGUUGGACAACUAUAGGCAAAACUGAAAUGGAACAGGGGCAGGACAUAGCACACUUUUACUCUACGCAACUGUUGCUUUCUCAUGGAGCUGCUUCUAAGAUGAAGAAAACUCCCAAUGUCAAGAUUUGGACAAAGAAGAGAAUUAAAUACUCAAUAUGGGUAUCCAUUAAAAUCAAUCCGAGAACCUUUUACUCACCUACAAAGUGGUUCCCUAACCAGAAUUCCAGAGAGCAUAUGACAUACCAGGCACUGGGCAAGCGAUAGGAACACAGUGAUGAACAAACAUAAAGAUUGUGGAAAAUCCACUAGUCUGAAACUCUACAAACAUGAAGGCUAAUCCUGACUUAAUUCACCCAACUUGGAUAUCAUGUCUUUGGAGAAGUCUUCCCUGAAUCCUUCUCCCUAAAUAAUUAAGCAUUCUUCCACUGUGCUAUCCUCUAAUUUGUGCCCAUCUUUUCCUCUAUUGCAGUUAUAUUUUUGUAUGCCUAUCUUCUGUAUUGGAUACUGCUGAAGGGAGACAUUUAGUCUUAUUCCUUUUGGUAACUGUAUCACAGAGCCUGGCACAUCCAUGAUGACUAAUAAACAUUUAUUGACUCAAAUACAUUUAAUUGAAUAUUAAUCUUUGAUUGACUCUGGAAAAAUACUGCAAGCCUAGUUAGGACUUUCAAGAAAUCUUUUAAUUUCAAUUCUGAACAAAUAAAUUAUUUGAACCUCAGAACUUCUCAGUACUUGAUUUAAAGACAUAGAAACUUGGGCAAAUAAUACUUAUGUUGUUAUUAUAUAUUUCUCAAAAAAGAUGCUUAUCCUUUCAGAGAAUGAAUCUACUAAAGAUAUUGAGGGUAUUCAUAAAAGCUGAAUGUAAGUGAGUUAAAUGAAGUGGCCCAAGUGUGUGUGUGUAUGUAUGUGUGGAUAAUUUGAAGGAUAGAUGGGAGAAGAUUGUGUCAAGGUAGCAAAUCUUGUCUGUGUUAAAUCUAGCAGUGACAGAUAUUGCCUAAUGCCUUCUCAAUAUUUACUUCCCUUAAGAGCCAUGUCGAUUAAAUAGAAAUGCAUCAAGCUAAAAAACCUUGCAUUGGUAGCAUCCAGUGAAUAUAGAAAUACUCAUGUGACCCAAUUCUAGCCAAUAAUAAAAUUAAUGGAAGCCACCAGUUGGGCUGCCAGGAAAGCUUUAUAAAAAGAUAAACUCACUGGGAUUGUCCCUUAGUCUCUUUGCCUUCCUCCCAGAUGGAUGCCUGGAGGAAUAAUCAUCUUGUAAUUGUGAGGAUUAAAGCCACAUUUUAGGGUUGGUUUCAAUAGAAGAAAUUUGGACCUUGAAGACAUUGAGCCACAGUACUGAUCCUAAUUUUCCUGUCCAUGGGGUUGUUGCACGAGACUAAUCAACCUCUUACUCAUUUAACUUACUCUUGGAGUUUCUUGAAACCAAACAUAGUCCUAAUAUAUUUGUCUUUCCAGUGAAAAGGGUAGAACAUGACUUUCCAAGUCUGAGGAGGUUCAUGUGUGGCUAGAACCACUGUGCUGAAACAACUCUAUUUCAACUCAUGGUCUAAGGAAUUGCUCUAAGUGACAUAUGUUGUCUGAUAAAUUUGUUUGUAUCUUUGUUAUCUUUUCCUGAAAUCUAGGGUUUAAAAGCCCAGGAAAGUUGUCCUAGGAUAGAGAUAUAAUUUCUGUGGACAUCAAUUGAUAAAUGCAAUUAUACUUUGUAUCCCUAGGUUUGGCAAAAAUCAAAUAAGCAACAUCCCUCACAUAAUAUUGCUUUAAUUAAAUUUUAUUUCUCUCUGGUUGUGAUACAUACUGCAGAAGCACAAUCAAUGAACAUUGACAAUUUGCUCAAAUCUUGCUCUUUGUCCUAUUUAUAUAAUUUAUUGUGUCAGUGGUUCUCAAGUGGUGUGCUCCUGCAACUCAUCAUCUGAAAAUCUUUCCCAGAUGUGCUGAAAAUUUUUCAUUAAUUUGUACAUUUUAUUUUAUUUUUCUAACUAAGUACACAUGCCUGUGACUGUAAGAGAAUACACCCCUCUUUUAGUCCCAGAGGAUUAUUUGGCCUUGAGGAUAAUUGAUUCAUGCUCUGCCUACUCCACCCCUAUUAUUCAAAUAGAGAUUACUGAAGAAAUCCCUGCUCCAUAAAUUUAGCUGAUCCAGAAAUGAAAGGGAAAAAAUCAUUAUUUUAAAGAUUUCUACAGCAUCUUUAUAUAACUCAGUUUUUUUUGCAUUAAGAAUUAUAUGAUCCUAGAAUGGGUUUCAUCCCUCAACAUUGAAACUGUAAUACAGUUUUUAAAACAAGAAGUGAUCUAUGUAGUGGUAUUUAUCUAUAAAAGUGAUAUUUCUGGUUAGUGAAUUUCAAGACUAGAAACCAGGUCUGUUGUCUCUUAGUUUGUGGAGCAAUAAAGACAAAAUUCGCACUGCUCUCUAUAUAUUAAUAAGAAGCGCUCUUUAUUAAGGACAGCUAUUUUAGAAGCUGCCUACCACAGUGAAUAGUAGUCCAUUAUGUGAAUUAAUAUAUGCUAGAAUUUCUUUAUUCAAUUAGAAACAAAUAUUUGGAUUCAUUCAAGAUUUAGAAUAUUAUUUAGAAAAAAAAGUUGCUAUGAACUUUCAAGUACAAGUUUUUUUUGACAUUUUAAUUAAUAGUUUUAUUUUUUAGAGCAAUUUUAGUUUACACAAAAAUCAAGUUUGUAUAGGCAUGUUUCAUUUGUCUUGAAUGGUAUGGCAGAGUCAUAUAGAAAAUGUACAUUUAAUAUUAUAAGAAACUGCCCCAAAUGUUUUCCAAAGUGAUUGUAUUAUUUUACACUCCUAACAAUGUCCAACAAUGUAUCAGCAUUCUAGUGGUUCCAUAUCUCCACAAACACUUGAUAUUGUCAGUCAGUUUAGUUGUAGCCAUUUGAGUUGGUGUAUAAUGGCACUCAUUAUGAUUUGAAUAUGCAUUUCCUUAAUACUUAUUAAGGACUUAUUAUAUUAAGCUUUUUCAUAUAUUUAGAGGCUACUUGCAUGUCUUCUUUGUGAAAUAUUUGUUUAAAUAGAUUGCCCAUUUGUACUGUUCUACUUUUUAUUAUUGAGUCCUAGAGUUAUUCAUAUAAUCUGAAUAUAACUCCAUUAUCAUAUAUAUUUAAAAUAUUUUUCACUCAGUUUUUGGU
ensembl:lincRNA